rnacentral:rRNA from 1 species
GACGAACCGAGCGAACGUUGUUCGGAAUCACUGGGCUUAAAGGGCGCGUAGGCGGGCCGCCAAGUCAGGGGUGAAAGCCCCCAGCUCAACUGGGGAAGUGCCUCUGAUACUGGCGGCCUCGAGGGAGGUAGGGGCGUGCGGAACUUCCGGUGGAGCGGUGAAAUGCGUAGAUAUCGGAAGGAACACCGGUGGCGAAAGCGGCGCGCUGGACCUCAUCUGACGCUGAGGCGCGAAAGCCAGGGGAGCAAACGGG